rnacentral:tRNA from 1 species
GCGAGCAUGGUAUAGAGGAUGUGCCCAGCUAUCCUAGCUGACGACGCGGGUUCGAGUCCCGCUGCUCGCU